UGAUUUUAAUUCUAUCAGAAA
ensembl:piRNA 21ur-774 ncRNA